AGAGUUUGAUCCUGGCUCAGGAUGAACGCUAGCGGCAGGCCUAAUACAUGCAAGUCGAGGGGCAGCAUAGUAGCAAUACUGAUGGCGACCGGCGCACGGGUGCGUAACACGUAUACAAUCUGCCUUUAACAGGGGGAUAGCCUUUCGAAAGAGAGAUUAAUACCCCAUAACACCAGAUAGGGCAUCUUAUUUGGUUGAAA
rnacentral:rRNA from 1 species